rnacentral:rRNA from 1 species
CUAAGAAUAUUCCGCAAUGGACGAAAGUCUGACGGAGCGACGCCGCGUGGAUGACGAAGGCCGAAAGGUUGUAAAAUCCUUUUGUUGGGGAAGAAUAAGCGUGACAGGUAAUGGUCGCGUGAUGACAUGAACCGACGAAUAAGCCCCGGCUAACUACGUGCCAGCAGCCGCGGUAACACGUAGGGGGCAAGCGUUGUUCGGAAUUACUGGGCGUAAAGGGCAUGUAGGCGGCCUUGUAAGCCUGGCGUGAAAGUCACCGGCUCAACCGGUGGAUUGCGUCGGGAACUGCGAGGCUUGAGUCACGGAGGGGAAGGUAGAAUUCCUGGUGUAGGGGUGAAAUCUGUAGAGAUCAGGAAGAAUACCAGUGGCGAAGGCGACCUUCUGGCCGAUGACUGACGCUGAGGUGCGAAAGUGUGGGGAUCAAACAGG